UACGGAGGGUGCAAGCGUUGUCCGGAAUCACUGGGCGUAAAGGGCGCGUAGGCGGCUCAUGAAGGCUGUGGUGAAAGUCCGGGGCUCAACCUCGGAUCGGCCGUGGCGACUCGUGGGCUGGAGCACUGUAGAGGCGGGUGGAAUUCCGGGUGUAGCGGUGGAAUGCGUAGAGAUCCGGAAGAACACCAGUGGCGAAGGCGGCCCGCUGGGCAGUGGCUGACGCUGAGGAGCGAAAGUGUGGGGAGCGAACAGG
rnacentral:rRNA from 1 species